AUUGAACGCUGGCGGCAGGCCUAACACAUGCAAGUCGAGCGGAUGAAGAGAGCUUGCUCUCUGAUUUAGCGGCGGACGGGUGAGUAAUGCCUAGGAAUCUGCCUGGUAGUGGGGGAUAACGUUCCGAAAGGAACGCUAAUACCGCACACGUCCUACGGGAGAAAGCAGGGGACCUUCGGGCCUUGCGCUAUCAGAUGAGCCUAGGUCGGAUUAGCUAGUUGGUGAGGUAAUGGCUCACCAAGGCGACGAUCCGUAACUGGUCUGAGAGGAUGAUCAGUCACACUGGAACUGAGACACGGUCCAGACUCCUACGGGAGGCAGCAGUGGGGAAUAUUGGACAAUGGGCGAAAGCCUGAUCCAGCCAUGCCGCGUGUGUGAAGAAGGUUUUCGGAUUGUAAAGCACUUUAAGUUGGGAGGAAGGGCAGUAAGUUAAUACCUUGCUGUUUUGACGUUACCGACAGAAUAAGCACCGGCUAACUUCGUGCCAGCCGCCGCAGUAACAC
rnacentral:rRNA from 1 species